CUCACUGAAGAACUUGCAGCAGGCCAUGUCAAAAGACAAAUAGCCAUGUCAAUGGGAUUUCUUUUCAUGGCUAUUCUCUGGCAACUGGUGGCAACUGCUGUUGAAAUUUGUGACUCCUGCCCUUGUUGUACUGGUGUUGUUGUGCUUAUUUGCGACCUGUGUUGUGCCGUGUUUGAAGUCUGCUGUAUCAAGAUCUGUGACUUCUACCAUAGCACAAGUGCAAAUACAACAUGCCAGACAUGUCAAAUGUGAUGACUAUAACACGCUGUGGAAAGAAGAUUGCGACGAUGCUGUUUAGCCGUACAUGUUUGACAGAAACUUAAUAAUUUCACCGUCGAAAAUGCCUCGCAAGUGAUGGAUACAAUGAUGUACUGUUUCUGUCUGCUGUUUUGUUUAUUUUUCAUUCUUCCUUAUAUUUUCUUGCUUAUGUUUGAUUG